UAAAUACUCCCUCCGUCCGGAAAUACUUGUCAUCAAAAUGGAUGUAUCUAUAACUAAAAUACAUCUAGAUACAUCCAUUUCAAUGACAAGUAUUUCCGGACGGAGGGAGUAUAAG
rnacentral:pre_miRNA from 1 species